ensembl:lncRNA
AUCCUGUUCUCUGAAAGGGUGCCUGGUGGCCGCCAAGCCUCAAAGUCGUGACUGAGUCUGCGCGCCGGCUCCUCGAGUUGGGAAGAGCUUGUACUGCGAUGAGGCAGCUUGAUAAGGAGAUCUAUUUCGGAUUAGAGGCACUGAUCCUGGGUAAACGGGAAUGAUUAGAGAAAGUAAAGCUUUAAUCUGUGCAAGAUGGUGAUGGAGGACUACGGUGGCCUGACUGAGGUAGCUAUGGGUACCCGUAAGGGUCAAGACAAGAGAACUGAAGUGUUAAGUGAUUUGGCUCCUGAGCUUCCUUGGCGCUCGGCAUCGGCGGACACGGAGGGUUCUUUCUGGCAAAGGCAAUGACAUACCCAUCUGUGACCUCAUCCCAAAAAUGAACCUAGUUUCUUAGUCCAUGGCAACCAGGAUGCAUGUGACCUUACCUAUGGUUAGAAAACAGAAAGUUUACUGAUCUGGUCCUGCCUCAAGCUGCACGUCCAAGGGAGUCGCAUCAGGCACCCCAGUUUUAUUGCAUGCAACAGUUGUUCCUGUGACCGUUGGAGUCUUUGAAGCGCAGCCGCAUUUUAGGAUGAUACUUCUCCAGAUAUAAGAGUUGUUUGCUGUUAAAAGCUCCACACUGCUUUUGUCUUAUGAACUGUACUGCAUCUUCAUAUCUCAUUCCACCUUCAAUUAAUGCUAGGGCAACAAGCACUGGAGCUCUCCCAAGGCCUGCAACCCAAUGGACAGCAAUACAACAACUAGGUUCUUCACAAAACUUAAUUUUUACAAGAGUAACCAGUCAUCAACAAUCUGGUUGGACAGUGGUGCACCAUCAUCAAAAGGCCAAUCAAAAACAUGGAUGCCUUCCUUCUCCACAAGAGUAGUGUCAUACAUUGCUUCACAUACUCUUACUAUUUUGGUAACUCCAUACUUCUUAAGUUCCUCUAUAAACUUGUUUAAGAUUGCAUUGGUUGGAUUGUGUGUAAUGAGGAAUCUCAUGCUCUUGUAUGUGACUUUCACAGGAGCUGGGCCAUGUUAAUUUAGUUAAAAAACACUUAAGAGGAUUAUGAAAGAUUUUAAAACUUGAAUAGAAAUGAUGCAAGAAACUGAAGUCUACUUCAUUAUACUCCACUUGAACUUCUCAGUGCUUUGAGUAUGGCGUUGGGAGUACUGGGAAAUGAAAUGAACCUCCUAACAAGAAGCAGCAAUCCUUCGAUCCGGUAAUACUGAGGCAAGAGAAAGGAAGUGCACUAAGGUUUACCCCAUUCAGGUCAGAACUCUUUAAAAUGUUCUAUGAUUUCAAUUCACCACUUCUGUGUCCAGGUGAGCCUCUCUCACAGGGGCUUCUUGGUGGAGCAGUAAUGGAUCUCUACAGUUCACUUGUCUACGUAGAGAUCGUGUUGUACCUGGCAGUAUUCUCCACUGUCCUUCAGAAACUCCAUAAAUGUGUGACCAAGAACUGAGGAAUAUGUCUACUCAUUGAAGAUUGUGGCCUAAUCAUACAGCUGGUUCUGAGGUGGUCGCGAGGUGGACGUUGGCAGCAGCGGGGGCACCAGGUGACCAUGCACCGAGCGGGCAAGAGAGUGUCGUGGACCAGCGCAGCCAGGCAGCCAGGCAGCCAAUACUUGUGCUGGGCCUAGUCCUAUACACCCUUAAUCCCAGUAUUACACACCCAUGAUCCAGCCACCUCUUGAAGCCCCACCUAUGAGCUCAUGAGGCUUUGGGGGAACACCUAGAUAUGAUCUAUAACAGCUACCAAAAGCAGAAACUCCAAGGGGGAAAAUUAACAAGUUGGCUAUUUUUAAAACUCAAAAUGAUCUGUUUAAUUUUUGAAAAUUUGUAAGCCCAGUUUAAAGAAAAAUGCCAAAUGUCAAAUAUGUCAAAAUGUCAUAUAUGUCAAGUAGCCUCAAAUGAAAAGAGCACUUAUACAUUUUUAAAAAUGAAUACUUCAGUAGAGACAUGGGUUAAUAGCAUAAACAGAAUAUAUAUAUAUAUA